GAAAGGGGCAAAGAGGGCUUGUGUUCUUCUGCCUAAUUGCAGGCUGCAUCCUGUGUCGGCACCCCCAUGGGACUGCAGAGAACGGGAAAUAGAAAUGCACAUCUCUGCACCAACAUCGGGGAAAUGAUCAUUCCUGGGAGAUGAAAAUCUGCACAUGGCACCGUAAGCCUAACAUCUGUGUCUGGAGGCUGCAAUCGCCUGAGUCUAGCCAGGAGAAAAUGCAGAAACUCUGCUUGGUCUUUUCUCCAUUGACUGUGACAACCAAAAUAAGUGACUGAGACGUAAGUCUCAAUUAUCGAGGUUUAUGAAGACACCUGCUUUAGGGUGCGUCUGGGAAAAACAAGAGCUACAGACACAUCUGUGGCUGUUUCUCUGAAGAGGUUUUCAGGAGAGUUAGUAUUUAUUUGUACAUUUCCUUAAACGGGGGAAAGGAAUGUAAGAAGAGAGGCAGGUAGGCAGUAAAACACUCCUCUGAGACUUUAGUUACUGCCCAGUGAAUUUUACAUAAGGUGAAUGUCUGAAGAGAAAAAGGGGAUAAAGAAAGAGGUGAUUAUGCAGAUGUCUCUGGGUAGGUGGAGGAAUGACUGAUCACAUCCUGUCUUUUCUCUGCACCUGGAAAAAUAAGCUUGUAAUCAACAGUAUCAGUGUGGAAUCAACAGACUUUACUCUUAUGAUCUGGACUUAGAUUAUAGGCCUAAAGUUACACUUGGUAUGCCCUGUUUAUGGGAGGCCAGCAAAGCAUUUACUUAUGAAUGAUUGGUGGGGCAGCCCUUCCAGAUGCCCGAGGCCUUUUCCUUUCCAUGGGGAUUUGGCUGAAGCAUGAUGUUAGUAACAGCCAUGCAUUUGGAAGAAAGGGUUGCAUGACUCAGCCUCCGGGCUCAAGCUUCCCUUUUGAAGUUUGGGAGUCUUGAAGAUUUUUUAUUUUCCUUUACAACUGCAAAGCAACAAGGGGCCUGCUGCCUGGCUAUGGAGACCCAGCCUUGGGGAGGCAGUGCUGCAUGGAGGACCGGCAAUGCCAUCUUCCUGCCUGGUGUGUGGACUUUCUUGAGGAAACAUCCAUGGUGCUGAAGGCUAGGGCACCCUCCCUGAGCUCCUGUAGAGACCUCCCUGGGCUCCCAAACUGGCCUUCACUUUUGCUUCCCACGCCCAGGCAACAGAAGCAGAGCAAGUCUCUCUUGUCACCUCAGGGUUAACUUUGGACACCUUUCAUUUCACCCCACAAAGGCCCUUGCUGUGCCUUUGCUUCCUCAGUGCCUUCUGCCUAUGACAGCUGUAGGCAUCAGUGUAAACUGGAUUGUGCACUAGGCACAAAUGGACACAAGUUAUUUCUGGAUGUGGAUGAUGAAAUACCAUGGUCCUGCUCCCUGCUCAGAACGUUCAGAUGAAACCAACGCACACUGGACCACCGUGCCUGCAGCCCAAGUUCUGGUGAGGAAUGUUCUGGGGGAGUGAAGAGAACCAUAGAGGAGACUGGUGAAGGUUUUGAGAUCAUUGGUGGGCUCUCAUGGGCAACUUUGUUGGGGCGAGGCUGCUGGCAUGAGGAGGCUGGCCGGGCAGGGAGAGGACCUGCUGUGAGUGCCUCCUCCAGGAGGCUACUGGCCGGGGAGUCCCAGGCUCCACCUCCAAGACUCACACAUCUUGGAGACCAUGAGCAAGGCUACAGUGGAGCAGGUGACCACAUCCAGGCAGCACACUAGCCUUUUCUGUCUCCAAUCACCUGCUGGGCUUCCUCUGCCUCUUGGCAAAUCAAAGACGCCAACUUAAAUUUACCUCUUCAAGGAGAAGAGCGGGCAGCCUAACUCUCUCCCUUCUCCUUCGAGGACAUAAGGGACUCUGAGAGUUUCCAGUCCAGCGAGGUCAGGUGUGAGGCACCAGUGUAGAAGAAAGAGCCCCCACGUCAGUUAGCACCUCGGCCUGUGGCCUUGGCAUUAAUUUACUUGUGCGAUCCCAGGCUGUCCCUUUGUGUGCUCCCCGGAAGGACCAAUUAUCACUUUCUCCUGGUCCUGAGAAAAUCACAGCGGACUGGAGGAAAUGAGGUUACAGCCCGCAUCCACCAGUCAGGGCACACUUUCACAAAGUCGCAUGGACAGCGCUGAGCCUUUUGAGUGCUUUACAGCAUUAAAGAAAAACAGUAUAUAAUAAGUUGUUGAUGUACAAUUAUUAUAUGUCAAGUAAAAAAUAAAGAAAAAAGCAGUAAGAACAAUAACUAGAUGUUGAAACAAUUUUUUGGCAAUUGGGCCUAUGAGUACAGUUUGGUGAAGUCUUGACCAAUAUAUACACCUGAGCAACCAUCAUCACAAUCAAGACAAGUGCAUCCAUCACUGCUGAGUGUCCGCACUCCCCUCGGCACUCUCCCUCCUACCUCCCUGUGCAGCCCCAGCCCCAUGUCUGAGCAAUCCCUGAUCUGCUUCCUGCUGCUCUGUCACUGGAGUCUAGUUUGCAUUGUCUACAAUUUUAUGUAAAUGGAACCAUAUAGUAUUGUGCUUCUUUUGCCUAUGUUCUUUCACACAGUAUAAUUAUUUCAAGAUUAUUGCAAGUUGUGGCAUGCAUUACUAGGUCAUUCUUCUUUAUGGCUGACUAGUGUUUUAUUGCAUGAAUACACCUGUUUAUUUGUCCCUUCUCCUGUUGGCGGGCAUUUGAGUUAUUUCCAAGUUUUGUUCAUUACAAAUGAGGCUAGCAUUAAUAAUAGUGCAUUAAUCUUUAUAUGCUUUCAGCUCUCGUGGGUAAAUAUUAGGAGUGGAAGGGCUGAAUCACAUGGAAGUUGUAUAAACCUUUCAAGAAACUUCCACAUUUGUUUCCAAAGGGCUUGCGCCUUUUUAUAUUUCUACUGUUGCCAGUAGGCCAGUUCAGAUUCUUUUUUUUAAUUUAAUUUAAGUUCCAGGAUACAUGUGCAGGACGUGCAGGUUUGUUACAUAGGAAAAUGUGUGCCACGGUGGUUUGCUGCACCUGUCAACCCAUCACCUAGGUAUUAAGCCCAGCAUGCAUUAGCUAUGUAUCCUAAUGCUCUUCCUCCCCCUGCACCCUCAACAAGCCCCAGUGUAUGUUGUUCCCCUCCCUGUGUCCAUGUGUUCUCAUUGUUGAACUCCCACUUACAUGUGAGUUACAUGGGGUAUUUGAUUUUCUGUUCCUGUGUUAGUUUGCUGAGGGUAAUGGCUUCCAGAUUCAUUCAUGUCCCUGCAGAGGCCAUGAUCUCAUUCCUUUUUAUUGCUACAUAAUAUUCCAUGGUGUAUAUGUACCACAUUUUCUUUAUACAGUCUAUCAUUGAUGGGCAUUUGGGUUGAUUCCAUGUCUUUGCUAUUGUGAAUAGUGCUUCAAUGAACAUACGAGUGCAUAUAUCUUUAUAAUAGAAUGAUUUAUAUUUCUUUGGGUAUAUACUCAGUAACAGAAUUGCUGGGCCGAAUGGUAUUUCUGCCUCUAGGUCUCUGAGAAAUCACCACACUGUCUUCUACAAUGGCUGAACUAAUUCACAUUCCCACCAACAGUGUAAAAGCGUUCCUAUUUCUCCACAGCCCCUCCAACAUCUGUUGUUUCUUGACUUUUUAAUAAUAGCCAUUCUGAAUGGUGUGAGAUGUUGUUUUGCUUUGUAUUUCUCUAAGGAUCAGUGAUGUUGAGCUUUUUUUUCAUAUGUUUGUUGGCUGGAUGUACAUCUUCUUUUGAGAAGUGUCUGUUCAUGUCCUCUGCCAAAUUUUAAUAGGGUUAUUUGUUUAUUUCUUGUAAAUCUGUUUAAGUUCCUUGUAGAUUCUGGAUAUUAGACCUUUGUCAGAUGGAUAGAUUGCAAAAAUCUUCUCCCAUUCUGUAGGUUGCCUGUUCACUCCGAUGACAGUUUCUUUUGCUGUGCAGAAGCUCUUUAGUUUAAUUAGAUCCCAUUUGUCAAUUUUGGCUUUUGUUGCAAUUGCUUUUGGUGUUUUUGUCAUGAAAUCUUUGCCCGUGCCUAUGUCCUGAAUGGUAUUUUCUAGAUUUUCUUCUAGGGUUUUUAUAGUUUUGGAUUUUACAUUUAAGUCUUUAAUCCAUUUUGAGUUAAUUUUUGCAUAAGGUGUAAAGAAGGGGUCCAGUUUCAAUUUUCGGCAUAUGGCUAACUUGUUUUCCCAGUGACUUUGCCACACAAAAUAAUUUUAGAGCAAGUCCAAAGUAAGAGUAAGCCAAUAAAUUUAUUACAAAGCAAAUGUACAUGCUGAGAGACAGAGCAGGCUGCUUAAGGUGAGAGACAGCAGCUAGUGCCUUAAGAGGAAUUCUUUUUAUGGGAGCUGUUCAUAUAUAUUCAAAAAAUUCCUGUGAGGUACAAAGUGUGCAAAGUAUUCAAAGGUAGACGUGAGGUUGGUGCAUGUGCUCAGUAACUACAAACUCUAAGAUGCAUCACACGUAUCAUUAGCAUUGAAAAUCCCUACCUAUGGGUGUGCUUUUUACUGCUAAGAUGAGGAAAAGUUUACUAUAAGCUAAACCUUGAGCCUAGCUGCACAUGUGGGACCCAGAGAAGUCCCUGCCCCCACCCUCCUCCCAGGUAGGAAUUUGUAGCAAAAAGUUCCUUGAGCUUUUUGUGCUGAUUGGCUAGAGAGUGGGGAAGCUAAAUCAGAAAUAAGGGAUUUUUGUUCUCUUUCUUGGGCCCUUAUUGGAUAUCAGGAAUGUGCAACCAUCUGGCAGUUGACUGGUGUCCUGUAGGCUGCUUACCUGGUGUCGUGUAGGGCUGCUUACCUGGUGUCCUUCAGGGCUGCAUACCUGGUGUCCUGCAGGGCUGUGUACCUGGUGUCCUGCAGGGCUGUGUACUUAGUGUCUCACAGGGCUGCUUACCUGGUGUCCUGCAGGGCUGCUUACAUUGCAAAACAGUUAGAUGCUGACACACCAUGAGGGUGCAAGUGCAAGGAGCCAGCUGCAUGUGAAAGGGGCCCAAGGGGCUUCAUGCAAGGGGACAAGUCAGUAUGGCCUCCCAACCUCACUCAUCCUGCCUCACUAACAGCAGUGAGAAAGAGUUCCAGUUGUUCCAUAUCCUCACAUGCACUUGGUGUGGCCAGUCUUUUUAACUUCUAGCCAUUCUAAUAUAAGUAAAAAUGGUAUCUCAUUGUGAUUUUAAUUUGCAUUGUCUUAAUGACUAAUGAUGUUGAACAAUUUUUUGUGUGUUUAUUUACCUACAUAUAUAAUUUUUAUGAAAGUGUCUGUUAAAUAUCUGAAGAAGAAAAUAUCUCCCAACUUACUGUAUGAGGCCAAUAUUACCCAGAUAACCAAGUAAUGUUCAUUUCCAGGAAUGCAAACCUUGUUUGUCAUCAAUCAUGUUAAGCAACUAGCAAAGAAAGAAUACAUGAUAAUCCCAACAGAUAUAGAAAACCUAUUUGGCAAAAUCCAACAUGUAUUCCUGAUUUAAAAAAAAAUCUUUCAGUGAAUUAGGAAUAAAGGGAAGUUUCUUUACUUGAAAAAAUACAUCUAUGUAUGUAUGUAUAUGUGUAUAUAUGUAUGUAUGUUUGUAUGUAUGUAUCUAUCUAUCUAUCUACCUACAGAUAGCAUCAUGCCUAAUGGAAGAAAAAGGCUGAAUAUUUUCCCCCUAAACUGAGGAACAAGACUGGGGUGUCCUCUUCUGCCAUUUGUAUUCGACCUUGUACUGAAGGUUCUAAAACCGUGCAGUAAGGCAAGAAAAAUGAAUAAAAUGCAUUGUGAUUAGAAAGGGAAGAGUACAAUGUCUUUAUUCAUGAACGUCAUGUCUACGUAAAACAUUAGGUGGAAUGUACCAGAAAUCUUUAUUUAUUUUAUUUUAUUUAUUUAAUUUUUGAGACAGAAUCUCACUUGUCACCCAGGCUGGAGUGCAGUGGCACGAUAGCUACUUACUGCAACCUGUGCCUCCCAGGUUCAAGCGAUUCUC
rnacentral:lncRNA from 1 species